GCGGCAUGCCUUACACAUGCAAGUCGAACGGCAGCGGGCUCUUCGGAGCGCCGGCGAGUGGCAAACGGGUGAGUAAUACAUCGGAACAUGCCCAGUAGUGGGGGAUAGCUCGGCGAAAGCCGAAUUAAUACCGCAUACGACCUUCGGGUGAAAGGGGGGGAUCUUCGGACCUCUCGCUAUUGGAGUGGCCGAUGGCUGAUUAGUUUGUUGGUGGGGUAACGGCCUACCAAGACUACGAUCAGUAGCUGGUCUGAGAGGACGAUCAGCCACACUGGGACUGCGACACGGCCCAGACUCCUACGGGAGGCAGCAGUGGGGAAUCUUGGACAAUGGGCGAAAGCCUGAUCCAGCAAUGCCGCGUGUGCGAUGAAGGCUUUCGGGUUGUAAAGCACUUUUAUCAGGGAAGAAAUGGUUUGGGAUAAUACCUCAAAUAGCUGACGGUACCUGAAGAAUAAGCACCGGCUAACUACGUGCCAGCAGCCGCGGUAAUACGUAGGGUGCGAGCGUUAAUCGGAAUUACUGGGCGUAAAGCGUGCGCAGGCGGUUUGCUAAGACAGGUGUGAAAUCCCCGGGCUCAACCCGGGAACUGCAUCUGUGACUAGUAGACUAGAGUUUGGCAGAGGGGGGUGGAAUUCCUGGUGUAGCAGUGAAAUGCGUAGAUAUUAGGAGGAACACCGAUGGCGAAGGCAGCCCCCUGGGCCACCACUGACGCUCAUGCACGAAAGCGUGGGGAGCAAACAGGAUUAGAUACCCUGGUAGUCCACGCCCUAAACGAUGUCAACUAGUUGUUGGAUCUUUUUUGAUUUGGUAACGAAGCUAACGCGUGAAGUUGACCGCCUGGGGAGUACGG
rnacentral:rRNA from 1 species